ACUGAACGCUGGCGGCAGGCUUAACACAUGCAAGUCGAGCGGAGAGAGGUAGCUUGCUACUGAUCUUAGCGGCGGACGGGUGAGUAAUGCUUAGGAAUCUGCCUAUUAGUGGGGGACAACAUUUCGAAAGGAAUGCUAAUACCGCAUACGUCCUACGGGAGAAAGCAGGGGAUCUUCGGACCUUGCGCUAAUAGAUGAGCCUAAGUCGGAUUAGCUAGUUGGUGGGGUAAAGGCCUACCAAGGCGACGAUCUGUAGCGGGUCUGAGAGGAUGAUCCGCCACACUGGGACUGAGACACGGCCCAGACUCCUACGGGAGGCAGCAGUGGGGAAUAUUGGACAAUGGGCGGAAGCCUGAUCCAGCCAUGCCGCGUGUGUGAAGAAGGCCUUAUGGUUGUAAAGCACUUUAAGCGAGGAGGAGGCUACUUUAGUUAAUACCUAGAGAUAGUGGACGUUACUCGCAGAAUAAGCACCGGCUAACUCUGUGCCAGCCGCCGCAGUAAUAC
rnacentral:rRNA from 1 species